rnacentral:tRNA from 1 species
CAAACUAGAGCUUGUAUAGCUUUUUAUUUACACUAAUAAUAAUAUUAUUUAAAUUAAUAUAGUUUGA